GGUAUGUAAGGCUCUAUCAGCAGGGAAGAUAAUGACGGUACUUGACUAAGAAGCACCGGCUAAAUACGUGCCAGCAGCCGCGGUAAUACGUAUGGUGCAAGCGUUAUCCGGAUUUACUGGGUGUAAAGGGAGCGCAGGCGGUGCGGCAAGUCUGAUGUGAAAGCCCGGGGCUCAACCCCGGUACUGCAUUGGAAACUGUCGUACUAGAGUGUCGGAGGGGUAAGCGGAAUUCCUAGUGUAGCGGUGAAAUGCGUAGAUAUUAGGAGGAACACCAGUGGCGAAGGCGGCUUACUGGACGAUAACUGACGCUGAGGCUCGAAAGCGUGGGGAGCAAACAGGAUUAGAUACCCUGGUAGUCCACGCCGUAAA
rnacentral:rRNA from 1 species